rnacentral:rRNA from 1 species
CCUACGGGUGGCAGCAGUCGAGAAUCAUUCACAAUGGGGGAAACCCUGAUGGUGCGACGCCGCGUGGGGGAAUGAAGGUCUUCGGAUUGUAAACCCCUGUCAUGUGGGAGCAAAUUAAAAAGACAGAACCACAAGAGGAAGAGACGGCUAACUCUGUGCCAGCAGCCGCGGUAAGACGGAGGUCUCAAGCGUUGUUCGGAAUCACUGGGCGUAAAGCGUGUGUAGGCUGUUUCGUAAGUCGUGUGUGAAAGGCGCGGGCUCAACCCGCGGACGGCACAUGAUACUGGGAGACUAGAGUGAGGGAGAGGGAACCGGAAUUCUCGGUGUAGCAGUGAAAUGCGUAGAUAUCGGGAGGAACACUCGUGGCGAAGGCGAGUACCUGGACAAUAACUGACGCUGAGGCACGAAGGCCAGGGGAGCGAAAGGGAUUAGAUACCCUUGUAGUC